UGUAUUCUAGGUAGUUCCGCCAUAAAAUUUAUACUGUCAUACCAUCGCUUCUUACUUCACUGAAUUUAUUCUCAUUCAAUAUGAGAAUAAUAUUAUAAUUAUUUUUUUUAGAUAGUUCACUCUUGUGUUAUUACAAUAAAUACUGGAUAUUUAAACUUUUUAUCACAAAAAUAAAGCAUGUCAGAAAAAUGACAGGUUUAUAGUAAAAAAAUUUCCCCUCUAGUGUUAAGUAUUGUGUCUUGUGUCCCAUUCUACCAUUGGCUGUCGCUGAAAGAAAAUGUUUUUCGAAUGAUGGAUGGCAAACUUGAUCAAAGUUGUAUUUUAUUCUAGAAAUUGGAUUUAGAUUUGGGUGGAUUAGAAGUUGAUUUAGCCAUUAAAUUGGAAUUUAAGAAGAAGUAAAUUUAUUUGAAUUAAAUGAUAUUGUGAUUUUGUAUAUACAAACUUAGUUGUGAAAUAUAUUGAUCAAAAAUAGUGAUUUGCAAGGGAAAAUACUUUGAAAAUCACAAGGUGGAUUUUGGUUUUAAAACAGGUCAUUUGCAUUUAAUGGACUUGUAAAGUUAUGUGGCUAAAUUGUGGAAGUUGUUAAGUGAAUCAGUUUCGUACACAAUUGACAAAGACUUGCUGUAAUUGGAUAUAUUGAUUCGAGGACAGGAUGAGUGAAUUCUGUGGAAAUUGUGAAAUAUAAAGGAAUUAACUAAAAACUGGUAAGAUAUGCCAUACUUUUCAGUGUGAUAGUGAUACAAGUGUACAAUUGUAUAACAUCUUGGAUAUUUGGUGUUCUGAUUUGAUUUUUAGCUCAUCUGAUUUUUAGCUCACCCGAGCACGAAGUGCUCAAUGGUGAGCUUUUGUGAUCGCCCUGUGUCCAUCG